rnacentral:rRNA from 1 species
CCUACGGGGUGCUGCAGUGAGGAAUAUUGGUCAAUGGACGAGAGUCUGAACCAGCCAAGUAUCGUGAAGGAUGACUGCCCUAUGGGUUGUAAACUUCUUUUAUAUGGGAAUAAAAUGUUCCACGUGUGGGAUUUUGUAUGUACCAUAUGAAUAAGGAUCGGCUAACUCCGUGCCAGCAGCCGCGGUAAUACGGAGGAUCCGAGCGUUAUCCGGAUUUAUUGGGUGUAAAGGGAGCGUAGGUGGAUUGUUAAGUCAGUUGUGAAAGUUUGCGGCUCAACCGUAAAAUUGCAGUUGAAACUGGCAGUCUGGAGUACAGUAGAGGUGGGCGGAAUUCGUGGUGUCGCGGUGAAAUGCUGAGAUAUCACGAAGAACUCCGAUUGCGAAGGCAGUUCACUGGACUGCAACUGACACUGAGGCUCGAAAGUGUGGGUAUCAAACAGGAUUAGAUACCCCUGUAGUC